UACGUAGGGUGCGAGCGUUGUCCGGAAUUAUUGGGCGUAAAGCGUCCGCAGGUGGCACUUCAAGUCUGCUGUCAAAGACCGGGGCUUAACCCUGGAAAGGCAGUGGAAACUGAAGCGCUAGAGUGUGGCAGGGGUAGAGGGAAUUCCCGGUGUAGCGGUGAAAUGCGUAGAGAUCGGGAAGAACAUCGGUGGCGAAAGCGCUCUACUGGGCCAUAACUGACACUCAGGGACGAAAGCUAGGGGAGCGAAUGGG
rnacentral:rRNA from 1 species